rnacentral:ncRNA from 1 species
CAUGGGUUCUUAGUUGGUGGAGCGAUUUGUCUGGUCAAUUCCGAUAACGAACGAGACUCUAGCCUAAUAAAUAGACGCUCCGAUCCUUCGAGUCGGAUGUUCUUCUUAGAGGGACAAGCGGCGUUUAGCCACACGAGACAGACCAAUAACAGAUCUGUGA